GCCAAACAGCUAGCCCUCCCCAUCUAAAAACAACAAAUCAUUAUUAAUAACCCCAAAUGCACAACCCAUUAAUAAACAAACCAUUUUUCCCCCUCAGUAUGGGCGACAGAAAAGGACCUAGGAGCAACAGAGAAAGUACCGCAAGGGAAAGCUGAAAGAGAAAUGAAAAAACCCCUUAUAAGCCUAAAAAAGCAGAGUUUUAACCUCGUACCUUUUGCAUCAUGUUUUAGCCAGUAAUCCUCAAGCAAAGUGCACUUUAGUUUGAUACCCCGAAACUAAGUGAGCUACUCCAAGACAGCCUUAUGUAGGGCGACCCCGUCUCUGUUGCAAAAGAGUGGGAAGAGCUUUGAGUAGAGGUGACAGACCUACCGAACCUAGUUAUAGCUGGUUGCCUGAGAAUUGGAUAGAAGUUCAGCCUCCCCGCUUCUCCCCUCAACCAACUAUCUACCUCUGACCCCUGAGAAGCCGCGAGGAGUUAGUCAAAG
rnacentral:rRNA from 1 species